rnacentral:rRNA from 1 species
UAGCGUAUUCGUUUGACGUUAGCGACAGAAGAAAGCACCGGCUAACUCCGUGCCAGCAGCCGCGGUAAUACGGAGGGUGCGAGCGUUAAUCGGAAUUACUGGGCGUAAAGCGCAUGCAGGUGGUUUGUUAAGUCAGAUGUGAAAGCCCGGGGCUCAACCUCGGAAUAGCAUUUGAAACUGGCAGACUAGAGUACUGUAGAGGGGGGUAGGAAUUUCAGGUGUAGCGGUGAAAUAGCGUAGAGAUCUGAAGGAAUACCGGUGGCGAAGGCGGCCCCCUCGGACAGAUACUGACACUCAGAUGCGAAAGCGUGGGGAGCAAACAGGAUUAGAUACCCUGGUAG